AAUGAUGUUGAAUUCAGAGAGGU
rnacentral:piRNA from 1 species